GCGCCACAUUUGCAGAGGAGGGAUUAGAUAGGUUGCCAGAAUCUGGAAUUCUAAGCGCGCGUACAUAACCUAUAUUUUUCCUAAUUUGUGAUUGUGUUAUUUUUAUAGUUGAAUGAAGAUCUUGAGUGGGAAUGUUAUUGUGAUUUUGAUCUUAAUUAUUUGCUAAUUCAAAGACUUCAACAUGGAUGUACACGAAAUCGUGCAAAAUUUGAAAUCGUUAAUAUUGAUGCGUCGUGUAUACGAAAGAUCGAUCGUUCAAUACAUCGAAGAUUUAUUGAAAUUACUUUUUCAAUGAAUCAAUCACGGAAUAACGAGCAACAAUGUGUCAUUGUUAUUUCCAUGUCGUUUGGCAUUUUAAGAGGAGUAGGAAUUUAAGCUCGAUGAAGAAUUCGUUGGAAAACAAUGGCGGCGGCAUUCAAGCCACAUGUGUUCAGACCACGUGAUUUACACCGGUCUCCGGGCCACGCAUCCACCGGCUGGAAUUAAAUUACUUUCUACGGGGCGUUCGCCUUUCAUGAAAUCGACGCGAUCCCUUAACAGCGGCAAACUUAUUAUCAACGAUACACACCGGACGUCCGUUUCAUUAAACCGUGCCUAAGAACUUGACGGAGAUGCUGACCAAAAGAGGUUCCCAAAAUCAGGAUAAAAGGCCUCCAUCUGGUUUGAAAUGAGGAAAUGUUCUUCUUUGGGAAUUUUACAAAAUUAAUCGGUUGACGGAAAUACAGAAAGAGAAGAUGAAGAGAAACCAUGAAGAGUGAAUGCAUUGAAAACCACAGUGCAAAGCAGUAAAUUUGUUAAAUUGGAUAAAACUAGCUCGUAUAGGACUUCACCCGUCAUCAAAGAAACCUCGCAUGCUACGGUAUUCUGCACAACCAAGUAUUCACGGAACGAGGAAAAACGCGUUUUCCCUGAGCAGCCAGCUGGCUUUCAUUUGCCUGUAACGGGAAGUGAACGACGUAAUAGGAACUGGAGGAAUCCAGCAACGAUGAACUGCAAGGUCAAUGAUUUUCCGAGCAGACCGAUGAACUUGCCUUGCGCAUAAGUACAUACGUGCACUACAGAAGGUACCAAUACUGGAGAGCAAAUGAGAAAGAAAGAGAUAGAGAACGAGAGGAGGCAAGGUCGUUGCCUAGAUAACAGUGCAAGAAUAGGUUAUGAAUUGAUUGGAGAUAGUUUAAAGGAAAUUUCAAUUGGACGAAGGAAAUUUUUUUCAAGAUUAUGAAAAUAUAGGUUAUGAUAAUUUGUCCAUUGUUUUACAUCAUUGCACCAUUGUAUAUUAUAUGAAAUUAUGUGAACAAAUCACCAGUAUAUCAUUGUUGAUAUUAACAUUCCUUAGUGAAAUAUUUGUAAUAUAAUGUUUAAUAUUUAUAAUUAUUCCCACAAAAUGCACAUAUAUGUAUUAAGGUGCUUUUAAUAUUGUUGAUUUUGUUUGGAAACAUAUUAAAUUUAAGACAGAGAAAAAUAAUAAUGAGAUGAGAUUAAAAUUAU
rnacentral:lncRNA from 1 species